rnacentral:rRNA from 1 species
CUAAAUGACUCUCGGCAACGGAUAUCUCGGCUCUCGCAUCGAUGAAGAACGUAGCGAAAUGCGAUACUUGGUGUGAAUUGCAGAAUCCCGUGAACCAUCGAGUCUUUGAACGCAAGUUGCGCCCGAAGCCUCACGGUCAAGGGCACGCCUGCCUGGGCGUCACGCA